CUCUUCGGGCGCCUACGGGGCGAGAUACUUGAAUAUCUCCCGUAGACACCCGACACCGCGGAUACAUUAUGUCGGCCCAAGUACCUCUGCCCGUAUUACGACGGUACAACACAAUCGGCGUCGAGGUUUGGUUCAGUGGCGUAGCCGGCGGGCAGGCCCGGUAGGCCCGGGGGCCCACCCACUUUUCUCCGAAAAUUAACACGAUUUCAAAAUCAAAACUCUGCAUUUGCAUAAAAGUCGUUUCUAUUCGAACGUUUACAUUAUUUUAUCCGGCGCGUUUCGUUCUCGAAAUCCCGCGUACGGCUCUGGAAAGUGAACGACGCGCGUUACGUUUUCGCCGCGAAAACCUGUACGGACGGCGACGAAUAAAACGCCGAAAAAACCUUUGUCGAUAAUCGGAGAACAGAAGAAAAUGAAAGUAAAAAGAAAAAAACGACCUACGAGCAUACGCGCGCGCGACGAUCGUGUUAAGCCGCCGUCAAAGUCACCGCGGCGGCCGGACAAGAACACACGCGCUCGCGGACGGACGACGGAGGCGGC